GUCUCUGUAGCGCAAUGGAUAGUGCGUUGGACUUCUAAUCCAAAGGUCGUGGGUUCAAGUCCCACAUGGGAUG
rnacentral:tRNA from 1 species